rnacentral:rRNA from 1 species
GACGAACGCUGGCGGCGUGCCUAAUACAUGCAAGUAGAACGCUGAAGGAGGAGCUUGCUUCUCUGGAUGAGUUGCGAACGGGUGAGUAACGCGUAGGUAACCUGCCUGGUAGCGGGGGAUAACUAUUGGAAACGAUAGCUAAUACCGCAUAAGAGUAGAUGUUGCAUGACAUUUGCUUAAAAGGUGCAAUUGCAUCACUACCAGAUGGACCUGCGUUGUAUUAGCUAGUUGGUGGGGUAACGGCUUACCAAGGCGACGAUACAUAGCCGACCUGAGAGGGUGGUCGGCCACACUGGGACUGAGACACGGCCCAGACUCCUACGGGAGGCAGCAGUAGGGAAUCUUCGGCAAUGGACGGAAGUCUGACCGAGCAACGCCGCGUGAGUGAAGAAGGGUUUCGGAUCGUAAAGCUCUGUUGUAAGAGAAGAACGAGUGUGAGAGUGGAAAGUUCACACUGUGACGGUAUCUUACCAGAAAGGGACGGCUAACUACGUG